rnacentral:rRNA from 1 species
GGGCCUGCGUUCCAUUAGUUAAAUGGUAGGGUAACGAGCUACCAUGACUGCGAUGGAUAGCUGAUCUGAGAGGGUGAUCAGCCACACUGGGACUGAGAUACGGCCCAGACUCCUACGGGAGGCAGCAGUGAGGAAUAUUGCGCAAUGGACGAAAGUCUGACGCAGCAACGCCGCGUGGGGGAUGAAGCACUAUGGUGUGUAAACCUCUGUAGACAGGGAAGUGACGGUACCUGUAAAGUAAGCUCCGGACUUAACUGUGCCAGCAGCCGCGGUAAUACGGGGGGAGCGAGCGUUGUCCGGAAUUACUGGGCGUAAAGGGCGUGUAGGCGGCUUGACAAGUCAGAUGUGAAAGCCCGCGGCUUAACCGCGGAAAUGCAUUUGAAACUGUUGAGCUUGAGUGCGAGAGAGGGUAGUGGAAUUCCCAGUGUAGCGGUGAAUGCGUAGAU